rnacentral:lncRNA from 1 species
CCAUUUCAAGCUUACCUCAGAGCCCUUAGCCCUUACCUCACAUGCUAGGCAGCACACUUGCAGAGUUGCAAGGCAUGGUACAGGAGCUGGGCCAGGCCAGGCCGGGGCUGUAAGCACAGUGGGCCCUGUAGAAGGCACAGGGGAUGUGCAGUGACAAAUCAAAGAGAAGAUACUGCAGAAGGAAACUUGAGAGCUGAGAAACACUUCUUUUUGGAUUUGAAUAGUCCAUCGCUGAAAGAGGCCUAAACUUGAAGACUCUCAAGGAAUUGCAGAAGGUAGCCACUGCCUGGAACAUGGCAAGAUCAUAACACGUGCAGUUGCGAGGAAGAAAGACUUUCAGAGUACGUGGACAGAAGAGGAGUACAAGCAGGAUCCUGUGAAGAGGGGUGGCAGCAGGUGGGUGCCAUGUACACACGGAGAACUUUAAAACAUCUGAGAAGAGAGCACAUGGAGGGAAGCUAGAGAAGACACUAGAAAACAUCCCAAAACCAGCAGGCUCAGACCCUCACAGCACAAUGCUCUUCAUCCCCAAAGGAAAGACAAUAUUUAAAAAUCUAUUCUUGCUAAAGAAGAAUAUUAAAGAAAGAAGUAAAGAAUGUGAAAGAAAGAAAGUAGAGAAAAAGUAAUAGAGUGUAUCUGAGAGCUCAUGAAUAAAAAUAUCGUGAACUUUUCAAGGACUCCUGAAAUGUGUAAGCUUCAGCCUCACAGAAUCUGGACCCAAUGCAAUGCAUGGGCAUUGUGAUUUCGACAGCCGUUGCCAGAUUCCCCUCUACCGAGGACGUGCCAACUCAAAUUUCCACCAGUAAUUAAGAACGUGUUUGUUUCCUCAAAACAAUUUUGAGAAAGAGUAACGAUGAGGAGAGUCCUGUAUUUCCAGAUAUUAAACGUUAUUAUGAAAGCGCUGUAACUAAAACACGAAGUUCCAGUAAUAGAUGAACACAUCAGCGGCACUAGGCGGAAAGCCCAGAACGAGAUUCCAGAAUCUGUGUAAGGAAUAUAGCAUAUAUUCUUUGGAGAGGCGCCUCAAAUCAGUGGAGAAAAGAAAGUGAUUCAAUAAAUUGUCUGGGAA